CUUCUGAUUUUGCACUAAAAUACCUGGUAAGACACCAAAAACAGAAAAAUCAUCAAAAGACCAAGAACUAGUACUGACAGUUGACUUAUUGUUUGAAUCUAGGAGACUCCUCCCUCUCUGUGGUGUAUAAUACUAGAUUGUAAAUGGAAACCCUGAUUCAACUCAAUAUGAUUGCUUAAACUAGGAAAAAUGAAAACAAAAACCUCUUAUCUUUCCCACUCUUGUUUCCUGGGUUCACAACGGUAAGUUUUGCCCCAAGCAAAGAAUUGAGUCCCUUCUCUGCUUUGGGGGAAUUGCUUUUAACAACAGGUCUGACAUCUCACUCAUUGCCUCUCUUUUUGCAUCCAAGCAGAGAAUACAACAUUGAGGCUUACAAUGACCCUGAAUACACACUCAUUCCUGCUAAAAGGUGUUGCAAGUCACAAGAGAAGAGGAUACACAUGCACUGAUUACCUAAAAGAUGUGGAAUGAGAAACAAAGCUCCAAAUUUGGAAGCAGCAGUGAAACUCCACAGGUAAGAAAUAAUGUCAAUCAUGGCCCAUUCCAUUUACCUGGUUGGACACUUGGAUGGUUUAUCUCAGCAGGUUUCUCAUCAGAGAACAUCUGUUACUUUUUCCAAAUCCCUGUAAUGAAGCCAGCAUUUAGUUUCAACUCUCUGGAAAAAGGCACAAUUAUUUUAACCACAAGCCUGUAUCUCCUCAACUUCCCAUUUAUUUUAGAAAUGUAGGUGGGAGGAAAUUUUUUUUUUUUUUUGUGAGACAGAGUUUCACUCUUGUUGCCCAGGCUGGGGUGCAAUGGCGCGAUCUCAGCUCGCUGCAACUUCCGCCUCCCAAGUUCAGGUGAUUCUCCUGCCUCAGCCUCCGAGUAGCUGGUAUUAAAGGCAUAUGCCACCACACCCAGCUAAUUUUUUGUAUUUUUAGUAGAGAUGGGGUUUCACCAUGUUGGCCAGGCUGAUCUCAAACUCCUGACCUCAGGUGAUCCCCCACUCUCAGCCUCUUGAAGUGCUGGGAUUAGAGGCCCGAGCCACCACACCCUGCGGGAGGAAACAUUUUUUAAGUGCCUGCUCUAGAGUUCACAUGUGUUUCUUUCAUUUAAUGCCUCUUUUACAGAUAGGAGAACUGGCAGUCAGAGAGAUCAAGCAUUUCUCCCAAGGUCCAUAUAGUACAGAUAGGAGAACUGGCACCCAGAGAGGUCAAGCAUUUCACCCAAAGUCCAUAUAGUACAGAUAGGAGAACUGGCACCCAGAGAGAUCAAGCAUUUCACCUAAGGUCC
rnacentral:lncRNA from 1 species